rnacentral:lncRNA from 1 species
CUUUCUUUUUUUUUUAGUAUCUUUUCUUUCCUUCCUUUUUUUGAAGUGGGAUAUUUUUUCAAAUUUUACAUUUUUCCCUCUUUUUUUUCUCUUUCUUUUUUUUUAAUUUAUUUUUUUUAUUUCAUUUUUUUUUUACUCAAACAUUUAAAUGACAGGGGAGAAAAGUGAAGAAGCGGGUAUUAAUAUAAAAGUUUUAUGUAAUUUAGCUUUUAAUUUUUGUUUCUUUAUGUGAGACAUGUUGGGUCCUAAAAAUAUAUCCAUAUCGUC